UAGCGCAGCCUGGUAGCGCAUCUGCUUUGGGAGCAGAGGGUCGGCGGUUCGAAUCCGUC
rnacentral:tRNA from 1 species